AUACGGAGGGGACAAGCGUUAUUCGGAAUCACUGGGCGUAAAGGACGCGUAGGCGGGUUAUUAAGUCGGGUGCGAAAUCCAAUGGCUCAACCAUUGAACUGCAUUCGAAACUGAUAACCUAGAGUAUGGAAGGGGCAGGUGGAAUUAGUGGUGUAGGGGUAAAAUCCGUAGAUAUCACUAGGAAUACCGAAAGCGAAGGCGACCUGCUGGGACAUUACUGACGCUGAGGCGUGAAAGCGUGGGGAGCAAACAGGAUUAGAAACCCGAGUAGUCC
rnacentral:rRNA from 1 species